ACGCGUGGAGCAUGUGGCUUAAUUUGACUCAACGCGGGAAAUCUUACCGGGUCCGGACACACUGAGGAUUGACAGGCAAUAUCUCAUGUUAACGGUAAGUUUACUUACCGCUUAACAUCGAGUGUUAAAUAUGCUAGUCCUUUCAUGAUUAUGUGAUAGGUGGUGCAUGGCCGUUCUUAGUUCGUGGAGUGAUCUGUCUGCUUAAUUGCGUUUCACUAAGGGCCCAUAAAUUCAAGGUAUGUUAGCUCUCGUCGCUCUAUGGACCCCUUAACUCCAAUAUUCUUAUUGUGUUAAGCGCGUGUCUUUAUUUUAAGAGUUUUAAGACACUGCGCAUGCUGUUGGGCUCUGAAAGCAACGAACGUGACCGCAACGUCUUGUUGCCUUAAACUAGCGUAUAUUGCAAUUUAUUGCAAUAUCGCUUACAGAGGCUAUUUAAAACUAGACGGACCGCUGUUUCUUUCUUAAACCAGAGGAA
rnacentral:rRNA from 1 species